rnacentral:tRNA from 1 species
GGGGUUGUAGCUUAAUGGUAGAGCACUUGCCUCACAUGUAUGAGGCACUGCGUUUGCUCCUCAGCACCA